GAUGAACGCUGGCGGCGUGCCUAAUACAUGCAAGUCGAGCGAACAGACGAGGAGCUUGCUCCUCUGACGUUAGCGGCGGACGGGUGAGUAACACGUGGAUAACCUACCUAUAAGACUGGGAUAACUUCGGGAAACCGGUGCUAAUACCGGAUAAUAUAUUGAACCGCAUGGUUCAAUAGUGAAAGACGGUUUUGCCGUCUCUUUUAGAUGGAUCCGCGCCGCAUUAGCUAGUUGGUAAGGUAACGGCUUACCAAGGAAACGAUGCGUAGCCGACCUGAGAGGGUGAUCGGCCACACUGGAACUGAGACACGGUCCAGACUCCUACGGGAGGCAGCAGUAGGGAAUAUUCGACAAUGGGCGAAAGCCUGACGGAGCAACGCCGCGUGAGUGAUGAAGGUCUUCGGAUCGUAAAACUCUGUUAUUAGGGAAGAAAAGAUGUGUAAGUAACUAUGCACGUCUUGACGGUACCUAAUCAGAAAGCCACGGCUAACUACGUG
rnacentral:rRNA from 1 species